CUUGGUCAUUUAGAGGAAGUAAAAGUCGUAACAAGGUUUCCGUAGGUGAACCUGCGGAAGGAUCAUUACACAAUAUUAUCGGGGGGGCCGGACCCAGGGUGCGCGUACUCCGCGUGCCUAUGACCUGCCUCUGUCUGAAUAUUCUACCCAUGUCUUUUGCGUACUAUUUGUUUCCUCGGUGGGCUUGCCUGCCGAUAGGACACUAUUCAAAACCUUUAUGUAAUUGCAAUCAGCGUCAGAAAUAACUUAAUAGUUACAACUUUCAACAACGGAUCUCUUGGUUCUGGCAUCGAUGAAGAACGCAGCGAAAUGCGAUAAGUAGUGUGAAUUGCAGAAUUCAGUGAAUCAUCGAAUCUUUGAACGCACAUUGCGCCCCUUGGUAUUCCAUGGGGCAUGCCUGUUCGAGCGUCGUUACACCACUCAAGCUCUGCUUGGUAUUAGGCGUCCGUCUGUCUGAAAAGGCAGGCGCGCCCCAAAACCUUCGGCGAAGUCUUACCGACUUUGGGCGCAGUAGAAUUUCUAACAACGCUCUUUGGGUCGGUACGGUCUUUUGCCGCUAAAUUGAAUUUAUUCAUUUUUCUUAGGUUGACCUCGGAUCAGGUAGGGAUACCCGCUGAACUUAAGCAUAUCAAUAAGCGGAGGA
rnacentral:rRNA from 1 species